GACGAACGCUGGCGGCGUGCCUAAUACAUGCAAGUCGAGCGAGACUCUUCGGAGUCUAGCGGCGGACGGGUGAGUAACACGUGGGCAACCUGCCUGUAAGACUGGGAUAACACCGGGAAACCGGUGCUAAUACCGGAUAAUCCUUUUCUUCUCAUGAGGAAAAGCUGAAAGUCGGUUUCGGCUGACCCUUACAGAUGGGCCCGCGGCGCAUUAGCUAGUUGGUGAGGUAACGGCUCACCAAGGCGACGAUGCGUAGCCGACCUGAGAGGAUGAUCGGCCACAUUGGGACUGAGACACGGCCCAGACUCCUACGGGAGGCAGCAGUAGGGAAUCUUCCACAAUGGACGAAAGUCUGAUGGAGCAACGCCGCGUGAGCGAUGAAGGCCUUCGGGUCGUAAAGCUCUGUUGUUAGGGAAGAACAAGUACCGGAGUAACUGCCGGUACCUUGACGGUACCUAACCAGAAAGCCACGGCUAACUACGUGCCAGCAGCCGCCGUAACAC
rnacentral:rRNA from 1 species